rnacentral:rRNA from 1 species
ACAGCAGUAGCCGCGGUAAUACAGAGGGUGCAAGCGUUAAUCGGAAUUACUGGGCGUAAAGCGCACGCAGGCGGUUUGUUAAGUCAGAUGUGAAAUCCCCGAGCUUAACUUGGGAACUGCAUUUGAAACUGGCAAGCUAGAGUCUUGUAGAGGGGGAUAGAAUUCCAGGUGUAGCGGUGAAAUGCGUAGAGAUCUGGAGGAAUACCGGUGGCGAAGGCGGCCCCCUGGACAAAGACUGACGCUCAGGUGCGAAAGCGUGGGGAGCAAACAGGAUUAGAUACCCCUGUAGUCCCUGUCUCUUAUAC